rnacentral:rRNA from 1 species
GAUGAACGCUAGCGGCAGGCUUCAUACAUGCAAGUCGAGGGGCAGCAUAAAUUACUUGUAAUUUGAUGGCGACCGGCGAACGGGUGCGUAACGCGUAUGCAACUUACCUUUUACUAGAGAAUAGCCAAGAGAAAUUUUGAUUAAUGCUCUAUGUUCUUAUUUACUCGCAUGAGUAAAUAAGCAAAGCUCCGGCGGUAAAAGAUGGGCAUGCGUCCUAUUAGCUUGUAGGUGAGGUAAUGGCUCACCUAAGCUCCGAUAGGUAGGGGUCCUGAGAGGGAGAUCCCCCACACUGGUACUGAGACACGGACCAGACUUCUACGGAAGGCAGCAGUAAGGAAUAUUGGACAAUGGAGGCAACUCUGAUCCAGCCAUGCCGCGUGAAGGAAGACGGCCUUAUGGGUUGUAAACUUCUUUUAUACAGGAAGAAACCUUUCCACGUGUGGAAAGCUGACGGUACUGUAAGAAUAAGGAUCGGCUAACUCCGUGCCAGCCGCCGCCGUAACAC